CGGAUUGUCAUGAAUGAUGCCGGAUCGUAUCCGUGGCUAACCCGCGUCCUGAUCCUUGACAGUGUGACCGGGGCUUGAGGCCGGGGAUUGCUACGAUUAAGUACGGAUAAGUACGGUUUAAGUACUGUUUAUUAAGGAUUAGAACGGAUCAUUAUGUUCUUCUACGGAUCAUUAAGCAUGUACUACGGUUGUUCGAUCCGUGAUGAAUUUUUGGACAUAUUCACGGACAGCUACGGACCUCUACGGAUCACAAUGGAUUGUCACGAAUGAUGCCGGAUCGUAUCCGUGGCUAACCCGGCGUCCUAAUCCUCGACAGUGUGACCGGGGUUUUACAGUGCUCAGUCUACUUUAACAUUUGGUUAAGACUAGCCCCCAAGUGACAAUUUGGUUUACCGUGGACAUUUGGAGAGCGUUGAUAACCGUCCAAAUGUCCCACAGGGAUCGCUUUUUUUCUUCUUCUUUUUUUUAUACUUGUUUUAGUUAUUUAUUUCCAAACCAAUUGAUUUGUAAAUUGAAAACACACAAAUUGUAUUUCUUUGUUAUUUCCAAAACACUUUCUUUUUUUUUUCUUACGUCAAACCAAACUGAAAUUAUUUACUUUUUUUUUUUUUUUUUUUUUUUUUGUAUAUAGAAUGAUGGGACGGACUACAGCUCUCUUAUCGUCAGCAUACUAGGGCUAGGUCUUGGUGAACUUAGUCCUGCUCGAUUCCCAGGCAUGUCGUUGGUACAUUCUAACAGACAUAAAAAAAAACCCCGACAGAUAUCACAAUCCCAUAGCUUUGAAUAAAGGACCGUCCAAGCCAUGGCGGAGACAUGAUAAAGCUCCCAUAUUGUAAAGAGCAAGAAGGGCGUUGUUCAUCAUGUCAAGGGAGAGAACUUCGUGAUACUUUAUUAUUCCAUCUCUUAGCAACUGGGCACUAAGCAGCUGAGCUUCCUUUGCCAUCACCUUCGGUGGCCGCGCCAAUGGCUUGCCAUUCACACCGGGACUCAUCGACAACAGCUGUAUUGAGUCGGAUGGACAUGAGUUGAUGGAGAGAGAGAUCAUGGCCACCCUGACAAACACGUGCAACAGCUGGUUUCUG